ensembl:lncRNA
AAAGAGAAGAACGGAAGUUGUUGAUUUAAGGUUGUCUAAAUGAAUAUUUUGAAAUGUAAAUUAGAAAAGAGAGAGAGAGAGAGAGAGAGAGAGAGAGAGAGAGAGAGAGAGAGAGAGAGAGAUAUGCUUGUUUAGGUGAGCUUUUCUCAAGAAAUUAUGUUUGUCAAAAAUUGACAAAGUUCCACCAGUUAAUGGAAUAGAAUUAUUGGAAUGCUGUUUAGGUGAUUUUGAUAGUGACCCCAAGUAAGUAGAUUGUGGAAAUCUGUGUGUAGCAUUUGUUUAAUGCAGGACUGAGAAGGACCAAGGCAUUCUUGGCACUAAACAAGCAUACCUUGAACCAACAACUCAUUUAAAGAAUUUGUGGAUGAGAGACUACAGGAGAAUAACUUAAGGAAGUGGCUGAAUGGCAUUUCCCCCUUGCACUUCUUCCCUUUCCCCAAUGCAGUUCUGCCUCCACCAGCUCUAGAGCUGUCCAUCAUCCCUCCAAGACAGACCUUUCUCCAGGGACAACGGAUCAAGUUGAAAUGCUCCCACCCGGAAGGGCAGCUGGCAGCCAAGUUCUUAUUUUAUGAAAUGAAAGCUGAUGGUGGGUGGACUAAACUCCAAGAACAGUUCGAUAAUACCCUGGAAAUCACUGCAGAAUUUCAGGAAACAAAGAAAUCAUUUGUCUGUGCCUACAUGGAAGAAAGCAGUGCAGGACAACUGUCUGAACGGAGUAACCGCAUUGAGGUUUCCAUUAUAGGCCGCCUUCAUCCUCCAUUCUUCUCUGUGUCCCCGAAGCUUGACAUCUACAGCAGUGGGGAGAUUGUGAACUUCACAUGCUCUGCUCCUGAAAACAUUCUCAUGUCGAGGGUUUUCUUUGGGAAGGACCGAUGGCUGUUGCAUGUCUACAGGCCCCCUUCUCCUCUGGCCUCCUUUACGUACACGAGGCGCUUGUCUCCUCAAGACAGCGGGGAGCAUCUUUGCACGUACCGAGCUGCAGAAUCGAGCUGGAACAUCUCAUCCCUAGAAAGCAGAAGGAUCAGGAUUUCGGUGAUGGCUCCUCCUCCUGCCCCGGUGCUGACAGUGGAUCCUCCGUCUGGAGUGGUGAAGGAAGGGGGAUUCCUGCGCCUCACUUGCUCGGCCUUUGGCAGCGACGCAGAGCAAAGGUUUCAUUUCUACAGGGAUGGGGUGAAGAUUUCCUCCAGCAGUGAAGAGUCUCUGGCGGACUCCGGAGAACCCAGGAAUGCCUUCUCGAACGCCUCUGCAAACAUCCUGGUCCAAGUCACAGCCAGCAUCCACACUGGGGGAUUUGCUUGCAGGUAUGAGCAGAAACUGAGCAGCCGAUGGAUCAUGUCUCCCUGGAGCCAAACAGUGAAUCUCACAGCUUGGGCACCAAAUUCCUCUUCGUCACCCCUGCUAUAUGCACGCUGGGCAAUUCCACUGGUGAUCCUGAUGGUCCCUCUUGCUUUUUACUGCACGAGAAGGAAGAGAGCGUUGAAAUCUGAGCAGGAAAACAAGGAAGAAGCAAAUUCUGAGUAUGUUGAAAUGUUCAGCGCCACUCGGAAGCCUCAGAGGACUCAGACGCCUUUUACUGCCUUGCCGCCCCCUGCUCUGCCUCAGCCCCCAAUAUCGCAAUCAUGGAUGGAGAGCGGAGCCAAACCAGGGGAAGACCAGGAGGAAGGUCUCUACAACAACAUUCCCCUUCAGGGCAAGAAGAGAGCAGAACAAUACAGAGAUUCUGAAGAAGAAUGAGCCAUCGGGGAGAUUAAAAUAUUCAGAUGGGGAUUUAUGACCAGGGAGAUGGGGUGGAAGGGGUCAGGGAAGAGGGCAGUGUUUUUCUCUGCAUACGGCUUGGCUCAACUUCUGCAGCACUUUCCUCAAGAGCAGGGGUCAGCAAACUUUUUCAGCAGGCGGCCGGUCCACUGUCCCUCAGACCUUGUGGGGGACCGGACUAUAUUUUGAAGGAAAAAAUAUGAACGAAUUCCUAUGCCCCACAAAUAACCCAGAAAUGCAUUUUAAAUAAAAGAACACAUUCUACUCAUGUAAAAACACGCAGAUUCCCAGACCGUCCACGGGCCGGGUUUAGAAGGGAUUGAGCCUUUUCCAUUCUCAUUUUAAUCUUCUGACAUACCCAAGUACAGCCCACCCAAACACCCCCUGACCAUUGACCAUGCUGGCUUGGACAGAUACAGUUUGGUCCAACAACAACUGGAAGGCUACAGGUUCCCCCAGCCUUGUUCUAGAUAGAGGACAGAGGACCUUCUUGGUAGUGGCACCCUCCCUGUGGAAUGCCCGCCCUUCAGAUGUCAAGGAAAUAAACACCUAUCUGACUUUUGAAGGACAUCUGCAGGCAGCCCUGUUUAGGAAAGUUUUAAAGACGAUGUUUUUAGAUAUGCUGUAAACUGCCCAGAUGGGCAGGAUAUAAAUAAUAAAAUUAUUAUUAUUAUUAUUAUUAUUAUUAUUAUUAUUAUUAUUAUUAUUAUAAAAUGAUUUGCAAUAGCUAGAUGUGCCAUUGGAAGCUUAUGU